CUGUCAGCAUCUAAUUGGCAUCAGUGGAGACAAAAACCGCUGAAGAUUUGAUUGAAACCACUAAAGGGUGCUAUUAACCCGGUUUUAAUAAUUUAAGGGUGUGAUUUGUCCUGGUUUUGAGUUCAGGGGGGCAUAUAUCCCAAAGAUUGGAUUUGGGGGUGAUUUGUAUACUUCUUUCCGAGAAAUUUGUUUCACGCCAUACUACCUAGGAUUCGAGUUGGGCCCGGGUUGUAGCCCACCAAGCACUGCACGCAGCCACGCACGAAGGGGCCGAAGACGUGGUCUCGUCUUCUGUCCUCCCAGUUUCCUUCCACGCGCAAGGAGCGGCCUUGACCUAACUCGUGCGACGAGCAGCCGUGCAGUCGAUUUAAUGCUCCCCGACCAGCCGUCCGUCCCCUGCACCGGUGCUCCCCCUCCCGGCUCCUGCUCCCCGCUGCCACGGCGGCCGCCUCUCCUGGGCUGCCAGCGCGUUGCCCCGUCGCCCUUCUUGACAGAUUACUCCAGCGCUAGCGAAGUUCUCGAGUGGGCGUAUUGACCAGAUUGAUUAUAUGAAGGACCUGUUUGCCUGACCUUGUGCACGGUGCCAAAAAGUUGCAGCAGGAGAAUUUUUCGUCCGAGCAAAUGAAUACACCCGACAAGAACUUCCGACAUAUUUCUUUCAGGGUUUGCUUCAAUUCUGGCUCCGCCACUGGACGGUGGGCAUGUGGGGGUGUGUCUGCGGCGGUUCUGUCCUUAGUGGAUUUGCUUUGAUCUUGUCGUAGUUUGUCUAUGUUCGUGUGUCUUCAGGUUGUAUCGUUUUGAUCGACGCUACUCUUCAUCAGCAACAGUUGUUGUUUUGCUAUGCUGGACCUACGGGGCCUUAGCACGACGACUUCCCGACUAUUUACUACAACAAGUUUUGCUGGCUCCAGCGAGGUAGCGGCG